rnacentral:rRNA from 1 species
CACGGGGGGAGCAAGCGUUGUUCGGAAUCACUGGGCGUAAAGGGCGUGUAGGCGGUCAAGUAAGUGGGACGUGAAAGCCCCCGGCUCACCCGGGGAUCUGCAUCCCAAACUGCUUGGCUUGAGUAUGGGAGAGGAUAGGGGAAUUCCUGGUGUAGCGGUGAAAUGCGUAGAUAUCAGGAGGAACACCGGUGGCGAAGGCGCCUAUCUGGCCCAAUACUGACGCUGAGGCGCGAAAGCUAGGGGAGCAAACGGG